rnacentral:snoRNA from 1 species
AUCCUUUUGCAGAUCACAAACUUGAUUGUUGAUGCUGAUGUGUGUUUUGUGCCUCCCCCAAGCCUUGCUACCACCUCAGCACAUUACCUGUCUGAUG